CGCUGGCGGCGCGCUUAACACAUGCAAGUCGAGCGAGAAGCUUUUAAAGGAUUCUUCGGAUGAAUUUAAAAGUGGAAAGCGGCGGACGGGUGAGUAACGCGUGAGAAACCUACCCUGCACAGGGGGAUAGCCAUUGGAAACGAUGAUUAAUACCCUAUAUGACCACGAUGCCGCCUGCCUCAGUGGUAAAAACUCCGGUGGUGCAGGAUGGUCUCGCGUCUGAUUAGCUAGUUGGUGAGGUAACGGCCCACCAAGGCGACGAUCAGUAGCCGGCCUGAGAGGGUGAACGGCCGCACUGGAACUGAGACACGGUCCAGACUCCUACGGGAGGCAGCAGUGGGGAAUAUUGCACAAUGGGCGAAAGCCUGAUGCAGCGACGCCGCGUGAACGAUGAAGGCUUUCGAGUCGUAAAGUUCUGUUCUUGGGGAAGAUAAUGACGGUACCCAAGGAGAAAGCACCGGCUAAAUACGUGCCAGCAGCCGCGGUAAUACGUAUGGUGCAAGCGUUGUCCGGAAUUACUGGGCGUAAAGAGUUCGUAGGUGGUUAAAUUAGUCAGAAGUGAAAGGCUACGGCUCAACCGUAGUAAGCUU
rnacentral:rRNA from 1 species